GGAGAGGUGGCCGAGUCGGCUGAAGGCGGUCGCCUGCUAAGCGAUUGUGCGGCUAAUACCGUACCGCGGGUUCGAAUCCCGCCCUCUCCGCCA
rnacentral:tRNA from 1 species